rnacentral:rRNA from 1 species
AGUGAACGCUGGCGGUAGGCCUAACACAUGCAAGUCGAACGGCAGCACAGUAAGAGCUUGCUCUUACGGGUGGCGAGUGGCGGACGGGUGAGGAAUACAUCGGAAUCUACUUUUUCGUGGGGGAUAACGUAGGGAAACUUACGCUAAUACCGCAUACGACCUACGGGUGAAAGCAGGGGAUCUUCGGACCUUGCGCGAUUGAAUGAGCCGAUGUCGGAUUAGCUAGUUGGCGGGGUAAAGGCCCACCAAGGCGACGAUCCGUAGCAGGUCUGAGAGGAUGAUCAGCCACACUGGAACUGAGACACGGUCCAGACUCCUACGGGAGGCAGCAGUGGGGAAUAUUGCACAAUGGGCGCAAGCCUGAUCCAGCCAUACCGCGUGGGUGAAGAAGGCCUUCGGGUUGUAAAGCCCUUUUGUUGGGAAAGAAAAGCAGCAGGUUAAUACCCCGCUGUUCUGACGGUACCCAAAGAAUAAGCACCGGCUAACUUCGUG